rnacentral:lncRNA from 1 species
GUUUGGUUUUCUGCCCCCGAGGGACCUGAAUGCAUCAUGGCCUAGAACCCAACAAGGGUGGGAAGAGAGAGUGACAUUUUCUCCCAGGCCAUCCACACUCUAAGAACUAGAAGGUGGCUCAGGCCUGCCCAUCCUGAGGCCUCGUCUUCCUCCCAUCCCAAUCAGCCCUCUACUACUCCUCUCCGUACCGGUGCACUUUCCUUGUGGCAGCUGCAACUAUGGGCUCUGUUUGGGUGUCUACCAUAGAAUCCAGUAUGCAUCAGGUACCUAAUAAGUGCUGAGGGUAGUGAGGCUCCUGAGCAGCUGGGUGAGUGACCCAUGGCCCUGCCUGCCCCACAGUGAGCACCUGCCCUGCCCUGCUUUCUGUCCAUCUCCUGUCACUCAGUCUGCACAGUCACUCUGUGCAGCUGGCGCUGGUGAUGUCCCAUCUCUGCCGUCCACAUGCAGACAGGGAAGGCUUGUGGGUGAGGAAACUCAUCCAGAUCCCACGGUUGGUAAGAAGUGGGGCUGAAAUUGGACCGAGGGCAUUGGCUGCUCCUCAGGGAGAGGCUGGUCUGAGACAGCUGGUGCCAGAGACACAGCCUGCAAAGCUCAGCUGCUCACCGCAUCCAUGAGGGUCAGCUGCUCUGCCAGCAGCCUGGGAGGGAAGGUCGUCAUGUCAGGCAGCUCCUCACUGGGUUGGUUCUUUACAGACCCACGACAGGGACAGGAGGACUCUGGGGCUGACUGUGGCUCCAGCACUGUCCCUGGAGGGGGCCCUUCCCCUGGUGCUGGUGCUGGCCCUGGUGCUGAAUGUAGAUAUCCUGGUGGACCCAGGGCUGCAGGUGACUCUGGCUCCAGAGCAGGCCCCAGGUCCGCCAGCAGUGGUGGUGCUGGCUCCAGGGCCGGCAUUGUUAAUGCGUGUUGCCCAGGACGUGGAGCAGGAUCUGGAAAAGGAGAAAAGGUCACCACACCAGUCAUUUUUCACUGGGUUUUCCAAGCACAGAAAUGACCGGGUGGAAUUUAAGGGAAUUGUAGCCCCAAAACACCACCCCCGGAAAGUCUUGCAGACUGCAAGCCCCCUCACCAUCUGGCUUGGCCUCGUUGGGCUCCGGAAGCACCAACUGGCCUAGGACAAUUUCCUGAUGGUCCUCCAAGCCCAGUCCAGGCCAGGAGAGGUUCCUGAAGGCCAGCUUUAUCCGGAAAGAUGACCGUUGCGGGGGCUGAUAGUAAACUGAAGUGUUUUCGGGGGGCCAGUUGAACAAAAUGGAGGUGAUGGUGCUGGUGAUGGAGUAGACAGCUGAGUCAGAGGCCUGGCCUUCUCCCACACAACCCUCCAGGGCACCCCUGCGUGGUUCUGGGUCCCUGGCCUGUUGCUGCCAGUGUGGAGGACAGCCCCACCCUACCGUAAGCCAUCAGUGCUGUCCUGGAAGGGGCAGACCUGGCCAUACAGCAGGGCUGUACAGACCCUCGUGCGCCCUGGCGUCCCACAGACAUUCUCUUCCCAAAGGCCCUGGAGCACAGCACUGUACACCUGGGCACUCAAGACUGCAGCUGCAGGCAGAUUUGUGAGCAGCUUCCUCAUCAAAGCUCCAGAUCUGGGUCCCCUGGUCCUGGGGUUAGGAGGGAAGGGGCAGAUGUCGGGGGGAGGAGGACAGGGAGAGCUGGGAAGCCACGGUGCUGAGGGGGAUGGGUCUCUCAGUGGCCAGCUGUGACCCCAGCCUCCCCUCUGCUUUGCAGGGGACCUAAGUCUCCAUUUACAGAACUCACUAUUUGCCUCUUGUGGGGGAAGUCCCCAGAUGUCAGCCUUCUCGUGGGAAUUAUAAGAAGUAUGAGCCCCAGAGCUCCUUUAGUCUCUCCCCAGCCAGAGUCCACAUAUUUUCCCCCAUGUUUUGUGGGUGAAAAGGCCCUUCAGAACCCUAAAUCCACCCAGUUUAUAUUUGUUGCUGGGCUGCGUCAUUCUAGUCAGAAUCUGGGAGGAUGCCACCAUACGUAGAGGAGGCCAUGAGGGUCUCACCUGUAACAUUCUGUAGAUAUGACUUGUUUAUUCUGUCUACUGUGAGUGCCUGACUCUGAGUAGAAUCAAGGCCGGGGGAUUGUCAUCUGCUUUGUUUAUGAAAUUAUGCCAAGCCCCAAGAAGAGCGAUGCACAAAUGAGGUGUUUUGAAUGUAUGUGUUGAAUGAGUGAACCCCAACCUUUGGAGAACCCCAGUGAGCCUCUCCAGAUGUCUGAGUGGGCCUGUGGCUCCUUUUUCAGCACCAAGGGACCCCUCUUCUGUCUGUGUCAAGGAGAAAGACCAGCCAGAAGGAAUCUCAGACAUCCUUUACCAGUGCCAUCGCAGACUUGGUUUCUAUGUGUUUUUCCAAACAGUGAGUGAUACAGGCCAUUGAGGCAGAAUGCUGAGAGCUGCUUCAAGUGAGGGGGAAGAGAAAAGUAACAAACAUGAAUCACAGCACCCCCAGCAGAUUUUCCAGAGUUUUAGGCUCUAGGGACCCCUUUGUUUGCUGUGUCUUAGAUCAUUGAGUCCCUACAAGAACCCUGUGAGGUUCGUCUUCUCACUACUCCCUGUUCCAGAGGAGCCAACCGAGGCUCCGAGAGGUGCAUCUUCAAGACAGAGCCAGUAGGGGACAGAGGCACCUCUGUGUCUUGGAGGGGGAUGGACACUCACCUUCUAACCAGUAGUUCCAAAAAGUGUGGCACAGUGAUAAAGUCCCAGGAGGGGCCCAGGCAGGUGGCAUAGGAGGAGAUGGGUUUAGUUAGAAAGGCUGGAACCAGGGACUCCCAACAGCUUCUCCCCAGUGCCGGGCUGGAAAGUUAGCAUCCUGCAGAUCUCAUUUUCAUACUAGGGGGACAAGGAGGGACAUGGGAGUCAGUGGUAACACCAUGGACCACCAGAGGAUCGGGAUCUGGAACUCACACCAAGAAGCACCAACCCUUCAGGGACUUGUGCAUAUGGAGAACCUGGGUGCCCAUGGUGAAAAGCGUUCUAGGCUUUCAAAGUAACAUUGCAUGUGAGGAUGGAGAAUGAUAAAACGAUUCCUGCCUUCAAGGCAUCGUCCCGGUGUUUGUCAGCUGUGGGGCAACAGCACCCUCUGUGUCAGCAACCUGCAUGAAGAGCAUCAUCCCUGCAAGUCCUCAAGGCCUGGGGAGGCCUCAUCCCCUCCUCAUUUCAGCAACAGCACACAGGACAAUACGCUCUAGAAGAACUCUUUGACUUAAAGGUAUAUGAUUGUUUUUGUUCCUUUAACAUGAACGUGAGUCUGGAGAAACAGCUACGGCCAUCCCAGCCCUGGCCAAGGGGAAAAUGCCGGAAGACUCCAGGGUGGGAGGAAGCGCGUCCCAAGGCCCAGGAUCUGCGAGGCGACUUGGGGAAAACGCAGGCAGGAUCCACCUCUGAUGUUCAGUGAAGACUACCAGAAAAGUCUGCUAGAGCAGUACCAUCUGGGUCUGGAUCAAAAACUCAGAAAAUACGUGGUUGGAGAGCUCAUCUGGAAUUUUGCCGAUUUCAUGACUAACCAGUGUCAGCCCAAGACUACCCCGUCGGUCAUUCUGUUCCUGCCGUCCUGUGAGGAGCCCCAAGCCAACAAGGCCACACUGGUGUGUCUCAUGAAUAACUUUAUCCGGGAAUCUUGAUGGUGACCUGGAAGGCAGAUGGUACCCUCAUCACCCAGAGCGUGGAGAAGACCACGCCCUCCAAACAGAGCAACAACAAGUACGUGGCCAGCAGCUACCUGAGCCUGACGCCCGAGCAGUGGAGGUCCCGCAGAAGCUACAGCUGCCAGGUUAUGCAAGAAGGGAGCACCGUGGAGAAGUCAGUGGCCCCUGCAGAAUGUUCAUAGGUUCCAGCCCCCACCCCACCCACAGGGGCCUGGAGCUGCAGGAUCCCAGGGGAGGGGUCUCUCUCUGCAUCCCAAGCCAUUCAGCCCUUCUCGCUGUACCCAGUAAACCCUCAAUAAAUAUCUUUGUCAGCC